rnacentral:SRP_RNA from 1 species
GCCGGGCAUGGUGGCUCAUGCCUGUAAUCCCAGUACUUUGGGAGGCUGAGGCAGGUGGAUCACCUGAGGUCAGGAGUUCAAGACCAGCCUGGCCAACAUGGUGAAACCCCGUCUCUA